GAGUUUGAUCCUGGCUCAGGAUGAACGCUGGCGGCGUGCUUAACACAUGCAAGUCGAACGAACCUUCGGGUUAGUGGCGGACGGGUGAGUAACGCGUGAGAAUCUGCCCUCAGGAGGGGGACAACAGCUGGAAACGGCUGCUAAUACCCCAUAUGCCGCGAGGUGAAAUGAAUUUCGCCUGAGGAUGAGCUCGCGUCUGAUUAGCUAGUUGGUGUAGGUAAUGGCUCACCAAGGCAUCGAUCAGUAGCUGGUCUGAGAGGAUGAUCAGCCACACUGGGACUGAGACACGGCCCAGACUCCUACGGGAGGCAGCAGUGGGGAAUUUUCCGCAAUGGGCGAAAGCCUGACGGAGCAACGCCGCGUGAGGGAUGAAGGCCUCUGGGCUGUAAACCUCUUUUAUCAAGGAAGAAGAUCUGACGGUACUUGAUGAAUAAGCCACGGCUAAUUCCGUGCCAGCAGCCGCGGUAAUACGGGAGUGGCAAGCGUUAUCCGGAAUUAUUGGGCGUAAAGCGUCCGCAGGCGGCCCUUCAAGUCUGCUGUUAAAAAGUGGAGCUUAACUCCAUCAUGGCAGUGGAAACUGUUGGGCUUGAGUGUGGUAGGGGCAGAGGGAAUUCCCGGUGUA
rnacentral:rRNA from 1 species